GACGAACGCUGGCGGCGUGCUUAACACAUGCAAGUCGAACGGUAGGGCUCCAGCUUGCUGGGGUACACGAGUGGCGAACGGGUGAGUAACACGUGGGUGACCUGCCCUGCACUUCGGGAUAAGCCUGGGAAACUGGGUCUAAUACCGGAUAGGACCAUGGUGUGGAUACUGUGGUGGAAAGUUUUUUCGGUGUGGGAUGGGCCCGCGGCCUAUCAGCUUGUUGGUGGGGUAAUGGCCUACCAAGGCGGCGACGGGUAGCCGGCCUGAGAGGGUGGACGGCCACAUUGGGACUGAGACACGGCCCAGACUCCUACGGGAGGCAGCAGUGGGGAAUAUUGCACAAUGGGCGGAAGCCUGAUGCAGCGACGCCGCGUGGGGGAUGACGGCCUUCGGGUCGUAAACUCCUUUCACCAUCGACGAAGGGUUUCUGACGGUAGAUGGAGAAGAAGCACCGGCUAACUACGUG
rnacentral:rRNA from 1 species